rnacentral:rRNA from 1 species
UGGGGGAUAUUGCACAAUGGGCGAAAGCCUGAUGCAGCGACGCCGCGUGGGGGAUGAAGGCCUUCGGGUUGUAAACUUCUUUUGCUCUGAACAAGGCAUGCCUUUGGGGUGUGUUGAGUGUAGGGGUUGAUUAGCGCCGGCUAACUACAUGCCAGCAGCCGCGGUAAUACGUAGGGCGCGAGCGUUGUCCGGAAUUAUUGGGCGUAAAGGGCUUGUAGGUGGCUGGUUGCGUCUGUCGUGAAAGCUCAUGGCUUAACUGUGGGUUUGCGGUGGGUACGGGCUGGCUUGAGUGCAGUAGGGGAGGCUGGAAUUCCUGGUGUAGCGGUGGAAUGCGCAGAUAUCAGGAGGAAUACCGGUGGCGAAGGCGGGUCUCUGGGCUGUUACUGACGCUGAGGAGCGAAAGCGUGGGGAGCGAACAGG